UAAAGGAAGAACACCUAGCUUUGAUUGGAAAUUUUGUUCUGUAAACUGACUUUAACAGGUCAAAUCAUGUUCUGCUUUCAAAGAGUCAGUCAAAACUAAACUUAUUAAUACAACUUUUAAGUCUAGUAUUGUCAUAUUGAUUUAAAAAUGUAUGGGAAAGCCAGAUAAAAGACAGAGGAAAUAAGGUCCCCUAAAGUCACAAUAAUGAGGAUUAUAUAAAAAAGUUUAUUUGGUAUAUUCAAUAUUUAAAUGUAUUUUGUUUUAAACAGGUCAAAUUAUGUUCUGACUUCAAAGAGUCAGUCAAAAACUAUACUUUAACUAAUUAUUGCAACUUCUAAGUCUGGCAUUGUCAUAUGCAUUUAAGAAUGUAUGGGAAAAACAGAUAAAAGACACCCAAUAAUAAAGUCACAAUAAUGAGGACUAUAAAAAAGUUUACUUGGUAUAUUCAAUAUUAAAUGUAUUUUGUUUUAAACAGGUCAAAUCAUGUUCUGACUUAAAAGAGUCAGUCCAAAACUAAAAUAAAUUUAUUGAAAUAUAUAAGCUGGGCAUUGCCAUAUGUUAUUUAAUGAAUGUAUGGGAACGUCAGAUAAAAGACACAGGAAAUAUAUGUAAGAUCCCCUAAAAUAAAUAACCAUUUGACUUAAUUGUUUCUAAAAACUUAUCAAAUAAUAAACUCGAAAAUGGCAGAUUCAGAAGCAGGGCUUAAAGG